AUGAAUAAACUUGGUCAAGCUGUUGCUGGUCUUUCGGGACAUGUGCACGCUUGCCACCAAUUUUAACCACCUGUGCACCUUUUGUAGACUGGAAAUGUUUCUCGAGGCAACUCGGAUUGAGAACUGCUGUGCGCAAGCCAGCUAUUCUUGUGUUUCUCAGUCUAUGUUUUCAUAUACUCCUAAUGUAUGUAUCUGAAUGUAUUGCUAGGCCUUAGUGCCUUUAAAACAAAUA
rnacentral:misc_RNA from 1 species